GAGAACUACUAUUUCGAAGUGUGGAAUGAUGGGGUAACGCCCUGAAACACACUCACUGAAGCUGCGGCAGGCAUAAGAAGUAAUGCAAAAACAACUUUUGUCUGAAGCCCGCUAAAGUAGGCUGAAGGUCACCCUAACAGUACGGCUGAGGAAAGGGAGCUAUAAAGCUUCUGUGAACGAUAGGUCUGGUGUCUAUAAA
rfam:Bacillus sp. SGD-V-76 genomic scaffold Scaffold1, whole genome shotgun sequence.